rnacentral:RNase_MRP_RNA from 1 species
GCCAUUGCCCUCGCCACCAAGGAGAUCCCCUCCUCUCCACACACCUUCGCGAACGAAAGCGCGUGGGUCUCAGGGGCACUCGGUCUUACGACAGAGUUCCCCAGUGGUCGAGGGGUCCCUGCCGCCGCAGCGGCACUCUCUGCCCCAGUGCACGGGGACUUUCCCCCCAGCCUGUUGACCAAAGAGACCUUGCAGCCUCUUCGCACGGACGCUGAGAAUCAACUGACUGACUACCCCGGACAGACAGACAGACAGACAGACACGAGACAGAGAGAAACAGACGGUCAGGCGAUGUGAGAGC